rnacentral:rRNA from 1 species
UACGAGGGGGGCAAGCGUUGUUCGGAAUUAUUGGGCGUAAAGGGCGCGUAGGCGGUGCGGUAAGUCACCUGUGAAAACUCUGGGCUCAACUCAGAGCCUGCAGGCGAAACUGCCGUGCUUGAGUGUGGGAGAGGUGCGUGGAAUUCCCGGUGUAGCGGUGAAAUGCGUAGAGAUCGGGAAGAACACCAGUGGCGAAGGCGGUCUGCUGGGCCGUUGCUGACGCUGAUGCGCGACAGCGUGGGGAGCAAACAGG